UUUUUUGUCGGUCAGAUUCAUAUUCAAGUUGUUUGAAGAGCUAACUGAACGGAUUGAAAACUCCCCUGCCAGACCAGGGAAAUCUCGGCCUCUAUAACUGGAUAAAGUGAUGGACUGGAUGCAGUUUCAUUGUUAUAAUGCCUAUUGUUGGUAAUGGGUUGUGUGGUUUAAGCACGUCAGCCAUGGCUGAGAGACUUUGGAGAACGUUGCAUCAAGGGAUCACCAGUGACAUUUUAGUUUGGGUUGUAUGGCUCUGUUAUCAACUAUAGCACAAUGAUAAUAGCUUUGACAACCAAACAGUUAUUUUGUUGCUUCAGAUAGGUUGUUACAAAGAGCUCGUUUCAGAGAUGCCAUGAGCCUGAUGAGUCUGUGAAGACUUCUCCUCAACACUGUGCAGUUAUGCAAUGAGCCUUCAAUUGUUUAGAAUGAGGUCCACUGAGGCUUAUGGGCAAGCCCCAUUCAAAGCCCUAAAAUACAUCCUGCAUGGUUUCAAACCAGAACGAGCCUUCAAGAGUUUUAAACCACCUCCUACGAGACUGAGUGCCAAACUCUGGGCCCAUGCUCUGUUGACAUGGAAGGGAGGCCAUCUUAUGCACCAGUAACUGACAAUGAUCUUCUGGAUUCUGAUAUGGUGUUGGGAAAGGAAUCAUUAUGCCAUAAAACUCAGCUUAUCAUUGAUGAAAAAUAUAAUCACUUCAUGUUUACACCACACACGAUAGAUUGUAUUGCCACCCAAAGAUUGAGUGCUGAGUCAAAUUCUUAUUUGUUUUCUGUAUGGUCAUGAAAGAAAUUAUUGGAGCUUAUCAAUCUUAUAUAAUUUCUGUUAGAUGUAUGUCCUGAAAGUCAAUUAUUGGCUGACACAUUUUUGUUCUAUAACACAUAUUUAUACUUAAACUAUUGAUUUAAUCAAUAAAAGAUAAGUUUUUAUUUCUCAUU